AACGAACGCUUGCGGCAGGCCUAACACAUGCAAGUCGAGCGAGAACGGUUCUUCGGAACUUAUUAAAGCGGCGGACGGGUGAGUAACGCGUGGGAAACUGCCUUAUAGUGGGGGAUAACUAUUGGAAACGAUAGCUAAUACCGCAUACGCCCUACGGGGGAAAGAUUUAUCGCUAUAAGAUGUGCCCGCGUUAGAUUAGUUAGUUGGUGAGGUAAUGGCUCACCAAGACUACGAUCUAUAGCUUGGUUUGAGAGAAUGAUCAGCCACAGUUGGGACUGAGACACGGCCCAGACCUCCGUACGGGGAGCAGCAGGUGGGGAAUAUUGC
rnacentral:rRNA from 1 species